GAUGAACGCUGGCGGCGUGCCUAACACAUGCAAGUCGAGCGAAGAGGGGACGGGUGAGUAACAUGUGGAUCACCUCCUAUAAGACUGGGAUAACUUCGGGAAACCGGAGCUAAACCGGAUCCUUAUAGAUGGAUCAGCGCUGCAUUAGCUAGUAGGUAAGGUAACGGCUUACCAAGGCAACGAGGCAUAGCCGAACUGAGAGGGUGAUCGGCCAACCUGGAACGGAGACACGGUCCAGACGCCUACGGUAGGCAGCAGUGGGGAAUCUUCCGCAAUGGGCGAAAGCCUGACGGAGCAACGCCGCGUGAGUGAUGAAGGUCGUCGGAUCGUAAAACUCUGUUAUUGGGGAAGCGGUACCUAAUCAGAAAGCCACGGCUAACUACGUGCCAGCAGCCGCGGUAAUAC
rnacentral:rRNA from 1 species